AUCAAGAUGGCGGCUGUAAUUUUCGUUAAAAAAAUGAGUGAGCACUCGCUCUGCGGGCUAGUUCUGGCUUGAAACGAUACGGUUCUUAACAGCAGCCAUGUUUGUUUCCCCGUCAAAGUUGAGCUCGAUGACGUCACGCAAUAUUUUAGGGCGAGGAUUUGAUGUGGUUUAUAGGAAGUGCUUAGUAGGCUGAAACUGUAUGCUAACAACAGUUUUGAUGUGCAGUAUGUAUAUUGAAAUGAUCUGAAAGUACAUUUUUGGAGGUACUUGUUAAAUGGACACACUGCCUCACAUGUUUGCUUCACACAGCUUUGAUUGGUGCUGAAAUAUGUAAAAACACUAGGGUAUCUGCUUUUCUAGAACCUGGGAUUCACGUCAGGAUAGAGUUAAGUUUACAAGAUUCAUUCUGAAAUGAGACUACAUGAGUGACCUUAGGGUUGGUGUUGACUUAAUGUUAUAUAGCAGGCUUGGAUGGAUUGGAUGUUGCAAUUUUAUGGCUGCUCGAUCAGGUUUAAAUCAACAUUUGUCAAAAAUUCUUUUAUAUCACAGAAUCUGCUCCUGUCUGUGAAUAAAACUCCUUCAGCCAAAGACAAUGAUUUACCAAAAAUGAAGCAUGGUGUUGGCAAUACUGGCAGGUAUAUGCUCAAAUGUACAAACUUAAGUAAAGAUGCAACAAGACACUUUGGAAUGGAUUCUAACCACUUAGUGCAUUAGGAAUGAA